AAUACCUAGGAAUCUGCCUGGUAGUGGGGGACAACGUUUCGAAAGGAACGCUAAUACCGCAUACGUCCUACGGGAGAAAGCAGGGGACCUUCGGGCCUUGCGCUAUCAGAUGAGCCUAGGUCGGAUUAGCUAGUUGGUGAGGUAAUGGCUCACCAAGGCGACGAUCCGUAACUGGUCUGAGAGGAUGAUCAGUCACACUGGAACUGAGACACGGUCCAGACUCCUACGGGAGGCAGCAGUGGGGAAUAUUGGACAAUGGGCGAAAGCCUGAUCCAGCCAUGCCGCGUGUGUGAAGAAGGUCUUCGGAUUGUAAAGCACUUUAAGUUGGGAGGAAGGGUACUUACCUAAUACGUGAGUAUUUUGACGUUACCGACAGAAUAAGCACCGGCUAACUCUGUGCCAGCAGCCGCGGUAAUACAGAGGGUGCAAGCGUUAAUCGGAAUUACUGGGCGUAAAGCGCGCGUAGGUGGUUCGUUAAGUUGGAUGUGAAAUCCCCGGGCUCAACCUGGGAACUGCAUCCAAAACUGGCGAGCUAGAGUAGGGGCAGAGGGUGGUGGAAUUUCCUGUGUAGCGGUGAAAUGCGUAGAUAUAGGAAGG
rnacentral:rRNA from 1 species